rnacentral:misc_RNA from 1 species
AUUAAAAAAAAAAAAAGAAAAAGAAAACCUCAAACAAUGAUUCUUUCUUUUUAUGUAUAGACUACUUUUGAAGGCAGAUCAUUCUGUAAAGGCAUACUAUGGAGAUGCUUGCAUAUCAGAAUGAAAAAAUAAAAUCCAAAGAACAAGAAGAGGAAUCCGGAAGAUUCAUUGUGAUAUUCAAAUUCAAUAUACCAGAAGAACCUCAUAAUAUAAAAUCAUCAAUCAAGAAACGUAAAAUCAACAGAUCCAACAAAUAAAACAAACCAAUUAGCCAUAUGGAUAGAUUAUAAGAAAUCUAAGAAUCAAUCAAAUCAAAUAAAGGGAUUAGAUCAAAGUAUACCAAGAACAAAGGAAAUGGAAUCGGACAAAGAGCAGCUUCCUUGACCCUGUUAGUAUCUUCCCACAGCUUUAUUGAACCGCAACAAAACAAGAAGCAAGAAGCCGCUUAAUUGGCCAGCCGUGGCAUGCAACAACCACCAGUUCGUAGUAGAGAUGCAGUUCAAGAAAGCUGUGGAAGAAUACGAAGAGGGUCAUUCAUAUAAGCAUUACCAUAUGCAUAGGACACGAAAACAAAGAGGCCUCCAUCUAAAAAACCCUAGAAGGAAAAGAAAGAAAGAAAAAAAAAGAAAAUCUCGCAAUUUAUUUGUACGUUCAAUUUCCUUUAUCAAUUUACCACAAAAUCAGCAGGAAACCGUGACAUCUGCUUCCCUUGUGCCGAUUGCUGACAUGGCGUCUCUACGGUUAAAUCGUUAUGGUUAGUUACAGCGAGGAAGGGAGACGAAGCGGUUACUGGCAAAAAGAAAAUGUCGAGUAAGGGUUAGUUAACGAGCGUUGGGUUAGAAACAGGAAAAAAGGUAAAGCAAAAAACAAGAAAAAGGUAAAAAAGUUUCAGUUACUUAACGGCGUUAAGGUACGUUUUCUGUUUCAUAUUCUAGUUUGGCUCUAUAAAAAGGUCGUUUUGUUGCAGCUUCUUCUCUGACUCCACACUUGUUCUUUCAAUACUCUCUGCUUUUUCCCUUUUAUCAACAUUACUACAGAGAGGAAAGAGAAAGAGAGGAAAUGGCAAUGGCGGUGCCUUCCAAAUGGGUUUGUGUGUGCGCGACUGUGCUUGUGGUGAUGUUUGUCGGAGUUGCAGCCACUGUUCGAAACGAUGGGAUCUCUGGUCUUACCAGGUAUAUACAUGCAUUUUUAUAUUCAUGUAUACCUUUUGCUUCUCUUGGAUUUUGCAAAUGGCUGUCACUUGUUACUUUGAUUUUACUGGUUUGUGCGUAUGCGAAACAAAGUAUCCUCUGUUUUACUAUAUUCACUUUCCACUUGUUCUUUUUGGUGACUUUUGAUGUUAGAAUCAAAAGUUUAGCUGCAUUAUCUUGUUUCCAGGUAGUUUUCACGACUACUUCGGUUUCGUUCUUGAAUUUUUGUUGUUUUUUAAAAAAUACGCUACGCAAUGCUGCUUUCUUGUACUUUAUGAGUUUGCUUAGGCGAUAGUUAUUAAUUAUUUGGGUUUUUUUGCCUUCACAUUUUCCUGUUUUAUCCAGAAAAUCUAGCUGCAUUAUUUGGUUUUUAGGUGAAACGACACUUAGCGAAAAUCAGUGUUUGAUAGAGUCCUGAAAUCCUUUUUCAUGUUCUUGAAUACCUUUCAAAAAUUUGGGGCUUUUGCAUCUUAUCUACGAUUUUUUGGUGACUCUAUCAAACAACUUUUUCACAUUGCUUUCAAAAUCUGUUCAUCUUCAUUUAUUUUUCGUCUCUUUCUCUCUUACCAGAAGUGGUGUGAGGUCACAUGGAAUUUAAUGAGCUGCACAGAGACAGAGAGAGUACA